UCCCUGGUGGUCCAGUGGCUAGGACCCUGCAUUCCCAAUGCAGGACGUGCAGGUUCGAUCACUGAUCAGGGAA
rnacentral:tRNA from 1 species